GACGAACGCUGGCGGUGUGCUUCACACAUGCAAGUCGAACGAGGUAGCAAUACCUAGUGGCGGACGGGUGAGUAAACGCGUGGGAAUCUGCCUUUAGAUGGGGGAUAACGGGUCGAAAGACUCGCUAAUACCGCAUAUGACGAAAGUUGAAAGGAGUAAUCCGUCUAAAGAUGAGCCCGCGUCCGAUUAGCUAGUUGGUAGAGUAAAAGCCUACCAAGGCGACGAUCGGUAGCUGGUCUGAGAGGAUGACCAGCCACAAUGGGAACUAGAGACACGGCCCAUACUCCUACGGAGGCAGCAGUGGGAAUUUUACGCAAUGGCGAAAGCCUGACGUAGCGACACCGCGUGAGCGAAGAAGCCCCUUGGGGUGUAAAAGCUCUGUCAGCUGGAACGAAAAAAAUGACGGUACCAGCAGAGGAAGCA
rnacentral:rRNA from 1 species